UACGAAGGGAGCUAGCGUUGUUCGGAAUCACUGGGCGUAAAGCGCACGUAGGCGGGUUUGUCAGUCAGGGGUGAAAUCCCGGAGCUCAACUCCGGAACUGCCCCUUGAUACAGCAAGCCUUGAGUCCGGAAGAGGUAGGUGGAAUUCCUAGUGUAGAGGUGAAAUUCGUAGAUAUUCGCAAGAACACCAGUGGCGAAGGCGGCUCACUGGCCCGAUACUGACGCUGAGGCACGAAAGCGUGGGGAGCAAACAGG
rnacentral:rRNA from 1 species